UGGGGAAUAUUGGACAAUGGGCGCAAGCCUGAUCCAGCCAUGCCGCGUGAGUGAUGAAGGCCCUAGGGUUGUAAAGCUCUUUCACCGGUGAAGAUAAUGACGGUAACCGGAGAAGAAGCCCCGGCUAACUUCGUGCCAGCAGCCGCGGUAAUACGAAGGGGGCUAGCGUUGUUCGGAUUUACUGGGCGUAAAGCGCACGUAGGCGGACUUUUAAGUCAGGGGUGAAAUCCCGGGGCUCAACCCCGGAACUGCCUUUGAUACUGGAAGUCUUGAGUAUGGUAGAGGUGAGUGGAAUUCCGAGUGUAGAGGUGAAAUUCGUAGAUAUUCGGAGGAACACCAGUGGCGAAGGCGGCUCACUGGACCAUUACUGACGCUGAGGUGCGAAAAGCGUGGGGAGCAAAACAGGAUUAGAUACCCUGGUAGUCCACGCCGUAAAACGAUGAAUGUUAGCCGUUGGGGAGUUUACUCUUCGGUGGCGCAGCUAACGCAUUAAACAUUCCGCCU
rnacentral:rRNA from 1 species